CGCUAGCCUCCCUACGGCUUUCUAGGUUGGUACGCGUCUACGCCGACCUUAAAGAACAAAAUAAUCACGCUCCAAAAGUCCAAUGAACGUUUGUUUUGCUCUCAAAUACCCUGGCGGACGAAACGUUUAGGAGGCUGAGUUAUCCUGCACGACCUUCGCCCACCUCAAGUUCCCUUUCGCCGUUUCUCCAUAAAUCCCAGAGCGCCAGCCCCAAGGACAAACGUGAGCUGGGUCUCCUCAUUCCGGCUGGUCCUCUGGGACACAGCUCCAGUCCUGAGCCUAGACAACCUUUGCAACCACGCAUCAUAAUAAUUUAGGCACAAACCCAAACUCGCCUCUCUUCUCUGUGGCUGGAUGCGCAGGGGUCCCUCGUUUAAACAGCGUCGGCGCCUUUAUUCGCCUGACCCUAUGCGAAGGAAAACCCGCCUGAUCCGUCAUUGUCUGGGUGGUAAGGAGCCAUUUACAGAGUCCCUCUGGUCUGUCGGUUAGGAGGAACAAAACAGAGAGCUCUACCUUACAAAUCUUCAAUUCCCUCCUCCUUCUUCCUGCUCUUCGCUAGG